GCCGUAUCAUGCUGCAUAACCGGUUCUCGUUAGAUCCCCGAAGUCAAGCAUCAUUGGGCGCGGUCAGUGGUUGGGCGGGUGACCGCCUGGGAAACACCGCGUGCCGU